GAUCCAUGUUCUGUCCUGUCCAUGCUGUGCGUUAACACUCAUUCAGUUCACCUGCCGCGCCUGCUGAUUGCUUGCCUGUUCCACCUGGUCCCUGCCCUACUUAAACUCCUCUCAGCCUCUGCCUCCCUGCCAGAUUAUCGACAGCCACGAGCCAGUAGUGAUCCAGCGUUUCCUUGUAAGCCUUCAGCGUUUCUUCGACCCUUUUCUGCCCACGGAUUGACCCCUCCUGCCAAGCCCUCCUCGGAUAUCUACUGUUCUGGAUUUCUGGACCCUAACCCAAGCUUCGCCCUACGACCAUCGACUAUUGCCUGCCCCUCAAGCUAAGUUUGCUCCCUCCGAUCUCCUGUGUAUGACCUCUGCCUGGAUAACCGUCUUAGUCUCUUCCUGGAUUCUCUGCUCCACCCGUCCAUUGCACUACAGUGCUGUGUUGGAUGACCACAUCCUGAGCCGCACCAAUAGCUGAAAAUUUAAUUAAACCUUUUUCCUUUGCAA